CACCACCCACACCAGUGAGAGAGACACUCAUGUGGCAACUAAUGCAAAGCACGCUCACUGCGAGCGGCGCAAUCACCCGGGAGCUUUCGCCAGGAGUUAGAGAGAAGCAAAGCCCUCAAUGCACCAGCAGCGACAUGUGUGAAAGCAGUGGUGUAAUGGAGGGGACUUCCAGCUAACAGCAGCAGCGUGGUGUCAUGAGGAAAUAAUGAUGAAAGAAUGCUGAUCACGGGAAUGAUUCAAUCAGAGUGAUUUCCCCAGAAAAUAGUGAAGAUUCUGAUUGAGAAUGUUUUCAUUCCGCAAGCCAAAGCAGAUAAAAGGUAGCCUGAACAGUAUUCGAGCAGUUACCAGUGCAGAGAAUAAUUCAGCAAAUGGACAUCGCGUGGAACAAACCUGGGGGGGAUUCGGCCGGAGGCUGUGACCUGCGGAGGAAAACAGGACUGUUUGAAGAACCUUUUGUAACCUUGUUGGUGCCAGACACAUGGUGACUCUUGUGUAGUGCCGCUAGGU